CUACGGGGUGCAGCAGUGGGGAAUAUUGCACAAUGGAGGAAACUCUGAUGCAGCAACGCCGCGUGGAGGAUGACACUUUUCGGAGCGUAAACUCCUUUUAUAUAGGAAGAAGAUGACGGUACUAUAUGAAUAAGCGCCGGCUAACUCCGUGCCAGCAGCCGCGGUAAUAAGGAGGGCGCAAGCGUUACUCGGAAUCACUGGGCGUAAAGAGCGUGUAGGCGGAUUAAAAAGUCAGAAGUGAAAUCCUAUAGCUUAACUAUAGAACUGCUUCUGAAACUCUGAAUCUAGAAUAUGGGAGAGGUAGAUGGAAUUUCUGGUGUAGGGGUAAAAUCCGUAGAGAUCAGAAGGAAUACCGAUUGCGAAGGCGAUCUACUAGAACAUUAUUGACGCUGAGACGCGAAAGCGUGGGGAGCAAACAGGAUUAGAUACCCCAGUAGUC
rnacentral:rRNA from 1 species